AACGCUGGCGGCGUGCUUAACACAUGCAAGUCGAACGAUGAUCCCCAGCUUGCUGGGGGGAUUAGUGGCGAACGGGUGAGUAACACGUGAGUAACCUGCCCUUAACUCUGGGAUAAGCCUGGGAAACUGGGUCUAAUACCGGAUAUGACCUUCCAUCGCAUGGUGGUUGGUGGAAAGCUUUUUGUGGUUUUGGAUGGACUCGCGGCCUAUCAGCUUGUUGGUGAGGUAAUGGCUUACCAAGGCGACGACGGGUAGCCGGCCUGAGAGGGUGACCGGCCACACUGGGACUGAAACACGGCCCAAACUCCUACGGGAGGCAGCAGUGGGGAAUAUUGCACAAUGGGCGCAAGCCUGAUGCAGCGACGCCGCGUGAGGGAUGACGGCCUUCGGGUUGUAAACCUCUUUCAGUAGGGAAAAAGCGAAAGUGACGGUACCUGCAGAAGAAGCGCCGGCUAACUACGUGCCAGCAGCCGCGGUAAUACGUAGGGCGCAAGCGUUAUCCGGAAUUAUUGGGCGUAAAGAGCUCGUAGGCGGUUUGUCGCGUCUGCCGUGAAAGUCCGGGGCUCAACUCCGGAUCUGCGGUGGGUACGGGCAGACUAGAGUGAUGUAGGGGAGACUGGAAUUCCUGGUGUAGCGGUGAAAUGCGCAGAUAUCAGGAGGAACACCGAUGGCGAAGGC
rnacentral:rRNA from 1 species